CAGUCUCUGUAUUGUACCCAGCUCUGUGUAUUGUAUGGCAGUCUCUGUAUUGUACCAGCUCUGUGUAUUGUAUGGCAGGCUCUGUAUUGUAUCCAGCUCUGUGUAUUGUAUGGCAGUCUCUGUAUUGUACCCAGCUCUGUGUAUUGUACGGCAGGCUCUGUAUUGUAUCCAGCUCUGUGUAUUGUACGGCAGUCUCUGUAUUGUCCCUCCCCCGUUACAUUCCGGAUGUUGUAUAAUUUCAAGGUUCCUUUUCCCUCUGUUUCCCCUCCCCCUUGUGUCGUUGCUUUCUGUCUAUAAGUUAACACAAUACAGUUAGUAGUCAUUUACCUAAUCUAAUUCUCCCCCAGGCUGAUCAACUGUGUGCAGCUAUAGGAGAGUGCCGAGUAUCUGUCUGUAUACGGAGGGAGGAAUUAUCUGCACAACAGUCAGCUAUCGUCAAACAUAACAGGU